AUUGAACGCUGGCGGCAGGCUUAACACAUGCAAGUCGAGCGGGGGAUGUUGCUUCGGUAACUGACCUAGCGGCGGACGGGUGAGUAAUGCUUAGGAAUCUGCCUAUUAGUGGGGGACAACAUUCCGAAAGGAAUGCUAAUACCGCAUACGCCCUACGGGGGAAAGCAGGGGAUCUUCGGACCUUGCGCUAAUAGAUGAGCCUAAGUCGGAUUAGCUAGUUGGUGGGGUAAAGGCCUACCAAGGCGACGAUCUGUAGCGGGUCGGAGAGGAUGAUCCGCCACACUGGGACUGAGACACGGCCCAGACUCCUACGGGAGGCAGCAGUGGGGAAUAUUGGACAAUGGGCGGAAGCCUGAUCCAGCCAUGCCGCGUGUGUGAAGAAGGCCUUUUGGUUGUAAAGCACUCUAAGCGAGGAGGAGGCUACCUGGAUUAAUACUCUAGGAUAGUGGACGUUACUCGCAGAAUAAGCACCGGCUAACUCUGUGCCAGCAGCCGCCGUAAAAC
rnacentral:rRNA from 1 species